GGGGAUGUAGCUCAGGAGGAGAGUGCUUUCUUUGCAUGUAAAAGGCUCUGGGUUCAAUCCCCAGCAUCUCCA
rnacentral:tRNA from 1 species